AUGAAGCUCCUUCAGAUGAAGGUAUAUCUUACUGGACGUUUAAAGGGUGGGGAAAUGUCUUUGUGUCUAAAUGUGUUUCCUUUUGAACUGAUUCUUUUAACACCUAAAUGUAAAAAUAUUAAUAUCUUUAAAGUGCCUGAGGCUCCCAGAGAAGUCAUGCACAAAAAGAAAGUACAAGCGCAUCCUCCCCAAAUGCCUGAAGCAGUACCUGCUGAAGUACCUGAAGCUCCAAAAGAAGUGGCCCCCCAAAAGAAAAUAAUGGAAGUUCCUGCCCUAAAGCCAAAAGCACCACCUGUUACAGGUACUAAUCACAGGUUGAAAGAAAAACCAACCCUAUGUUUCCAUGUGUUUUGUGCUGUUUGUACUUUCUAAGUGUAAAAACUACUAAUAUCUUUUAAGUACCCGAAGCUCCAAAAGAAAGUUUCCCUGAAAAGAAAGUGCCCCUGGUGCCAUCUAAAAAGCCAGAAGCCCCAUCAGUUACAGGUACUUGUCACUGACCUGACCUUCAUAACACCCUCCUGCUCAUGAAGAUAUUUCACUCAAGUGGUCUUCGCAACCCCUAAGGGUAAUUUCACUAAUAUCUUUUAAGUGCCUGAGGUGCCUGAAGAAGUUGUCCCUGAAAAGAAAG
rnacentral:lncRNA from 1 species